AUUGAACGCUGGCGGCAUGCUUUACACAUGCAAGUCGAACGGCAGCGCGGGCUUCGGCCUGGCGGCGAGUGGCGAACGGGUGAGUAAUACAUCGGAACGUGCCCAGUAGUGGGGGAUAGCUCGGCGAAAGCCGGAUUAAUACCGCAUACGACCUGAGGGUGAAAGCGGGGGAUCUUCGGACCUCGCGCUAUUGGAGCGGCCGAUGGCAGAUUAGCUAGUUGGUGGGGUAAAGGCCUACCAAGGCGACGAUCUGUAGCUGGUCUGAGAGGACGACCAGCCACACUGGGACUGAGACACGGCCCAAACUCCUACGGGAGGCAGCAGUGGGGAAUUUUGGACAAUGGGCGAAGGCCUGAUCCAGCAAUGCCGCGUGGGUGAUGAAGGCCUUCGGGUUGUAAAGCACUUUGGGCGGGAACGAAAAGGACUGUGCCAAUACCACGGUUCGAUGACGGUACCCGCAGAAUAAGCACCGGCUAACUACGUG
rnacentral:rRNA from 1 species